AAUAAUAAUGCCAUAUCCAAUGUGUAAUAAUUGUGAAUUGAAGUGAAGUAAUAAUUGUGCACUUGGUAUUCCUGGAAAACUACAUUGAGCAAACAUACUUAUACAGGCAAAAUACUACAAAUUACAUAUGUACAUAGAACCGUACCGCGAAAAGUGCUCACUUUUUAUAGUUUUUUUUCGCUAAAUACAUAUGUACUUAUUUAUGUGCAUAUUUACGUAUUUACAUGUGCAUUGUACAUGUUUAUGUACAUUUUUGAGUGCUAACCCAGUCGUAAGUUGCGGAACGUGUUUUAAAAAAACAUAGUUCUGGGUCGUACCUUUUUUACGCAAAACAGCACGCAUGCAAAUUUUGCAAGGCAAAUGUGCGUGCUGGGUGCAUUCUAUUGCGGUGCCUUCUAGAAGUGUUUCAGAAUAAUGCAUCCAGAGGCAUGCCCAAACACCCGUUUCGGGAACGUAUUCCGAAAGAAAUAGUUCUGGGUCGUAUCUUUUUUACGCAAAGCAACACGCGUGCAAAUUUAACUAGCAACUGUGCGUGCUGGGGGCAGUCUUUUGGGUGCCAUCUGGGUGUAUUUCAAUAUAGUGCAUCCAGGAGCAUUUUAGUGGGAAUGUAAAAAAACCAAACUCAAACCCGAAGGUUGCCGAUGCCCAUUUUUUUACAAUCGUCUUUUUUCGGAACUGUUCUCUUGACAAACAAAUAAUAAAGACAAAAGGGAACAUGCAAGGAAGCGAGCGGUUUUUCUUGCCUCUUGCAUUUCUCGUCAGUUGCAUUUUUAGUUCUGAAAAGUGAAGUUCGUGCCACGUGUUUUGAAAAAGUUUGUUGCUUUCUGCCACCAAUUUUACAUCAAUAUUUUCACAGAAUCGCAAAAAAUGAAUGGGCACACCAAGGACUGAACUGCGUAAAUGACAAAAGUACAUAAACAAGAAGGAAGCACCAAAGCACCGUACAGAAGGGGAGUUACUCCGAUUAAAAAUUAGUUGCGUUUUUGAAUAUUGAAAUGAAAAUAAAUAUGAAAUUGUAAUCCAGUUUUAUGUAUUCCUGGGGAAAACUUCCAGAUAUUUCGUUUUUGAAUGCUUCUAGGUGCAUUCCUGGGUACACGUUACAGGUGCAUUAAAAAAGAGUACACCCAGAAGGAGUUUAGUAUGUUGCUUCCAGGUGCAUUCCAGAUAUAUGCUUCCAGAAGCAUGCAACGGGUGCAUUCUUUUUUGUCCCGCACCCGUGUAAAAAGAAUGGACAGACUCAUCACUUCCGGAACACCUUUUCGAUGCCAUUUCAUAAUGAAA